CUAGUUUUGAAAACCAUUUAUCUAGUUCUUAUAUCUAUGUCCAGUUGCCUAAUUGUUUAGCGGAGAAAGUUGUUUUAUUCCUUGUUUGGUACCUUAUUUUGUGUUCUUUUAAAUAUCGAAAAAUUGGUCAGGGCUAGUUGUUUUGGUAUGCUGUGAUAUUAUGGAAGGCAAACUGUGUUUGGAAGGAAGAUUUUGGGGGUUUGGUGCAUGAUAAAGUUUCUGAAAUUUUCAAGUCUCUUGGACUUGGUUGUUCCUGCUUUUGGUUCUGCUCAUGAAACUGAAAAGUUAAAUUGAGUGGGAAAGAAGAGGCAAAGAAGCAUAUCCCAAGAAGAUAUGGAUGUGGUUAGAAAUGAGUGGACAAAGUUUGUGGUCAAGACAUAUAUGUAAGCAUUGUACUUGGUACUUGGGUACCCAUAUAUUUUUUUAGUUCAGUUGAGACCUUGUUCUUUAGAUUUGGUUGGACAUGAGUUGAUGCUAGUACUUUGAAUUGAUAAUGUAAGAUUUGUGAGAAUGAUGUAUGAGAAUGUGGUAAAUGAAAUUGGAACUUCGAAUUUCAUAUCA